UAUAUAAUGGCUUUAUAUUCUUCUGAAAAAGUUAUUAAUUCUUGACACUCAUCAGUAUACCAACACGUACAUGUCAGCAAAUUUAUAAAAAAAAUUAUAAUCUUAUUAAUUUUACUUUUUAUCUAACCUUAUGAAUUUUAUCCAUAUUUACAUUUGAUCUUAUCUCUUAUUUAGUUUUAAAAGGUUUUUGUUUACUAGGGAGGAUAAUGUCGUUUUCUUCUUCUUUUGGGGAGGGGACAGUAUUUAAUGGUGUAAUAAUAAAUUCCAGAGAUAAUUUUCGAUUCAAAAUUAAAAACAAGUGAUUGUUGAGAUCACAACAAUGACUAGGUUAAUUAAUUCAAAUGUGUAGCCCAACAAGUAAUUGAGAAGUUGACCUGAAAAAAAAAAUUCAAAAGCCAACGUAAAUAGUCAAAAACCCAUGAAAACUUGUUUUUGGUUUUUAUGUUAAAAAAAUCUAGUUUCUUUACAUUUUAGGGAAUCCAUUCUUUGAAAAUCUUGAUUGGGUGUAAAAUAGAUUUUGAAAAAACAAAAACUAAUCUAAAAACUACAAACAAUCAAGUUCUUAAUGAGAGAAUCGAAUGGCUGGAAACAAAAAAGGAGUGACGGUUACGUUUGCUUGCAGACGGAUACUUUACCAAUAAGGCAAGCUAAAGAGGACGAAGACUUGAUCCACACGAAUCAUCAUCAUCUUCCCAUCUUCUCUUAUUCAUUUACAAUUUUUAUUAAUUGGGAAUUAUUAAUUUUCUUCUUGCUUCUAUGUCUAUCAGUAUUCAGUAGUGCAAGUCCAAUCCAAUUUUCUUUCAGUUUUCAGUUCAUAGUUCUUCUUCCAAUCUAUAUAUAUAUAAAAAUGUUUGCCUCCCUCCUGAGGUGUCCACGUGGAAACUCUUUUAUUAUAGAGGCAACACAUGUCCUGCUCGAAUGAAACUCAUCGUUUCAUUUUUUUUGGUGUGGGCUUUGAUUUUUCAUCUGGCCCGAGAAGUUGGAGUUUGUCUCUAACCCUAAUCCUGGAGAAUAUGAAUUGGCGUUCGUAAAUCGUCGUCAUACGACAUACAACGGCAGAAUGAUUCGACUUUAUCCUUUACCGGAUUCCAGAUCCAGUGACGAAAAUCAAAACUGUGGGAUACUCCUUUUCUUCAACCCGCAAAGAAUCUCCGCCGUAGAUCCGCGAGAAGCCGCGAACAAAGGAGGGGAAGCGAUCGCCAAGAACGAGGGCUUCUCGACAUCGGGAACACGGAGCUGGAGGUACUGGCCGAGCCGAGUGUAGGAAGCCACGAGAUCAGGGGAGUUAUAAUCUUCGAUCCAGACGUGGAUGGAAUAGUGAUUCGGCGGCGGAUUCGAUUAGAGAGAGGAGCUGGGGUCCAGAGAGAGGCGUCAUGGAGAACCGCCGCGGCUGUGACGACACGGUUGUUACGGGAGGAGAAGCGGAGAUUGCGUGCGAGGGGGAGGCGGCACAGGAUAAAUAUGAAGGAGAGGGUGGCUAAAUUGUGCAUGGGUGCUGGUGAUAGACGGGGAGAGAGAAAGAGUGGACAUGGUGUGUUGUGGAAAUUUUUUUUUUGGCCGGUAGUAGGAAAGGGCGGCCCGAGUAUGUCCUUAUCACCUGGAGAGAAGGCUACAAGAGCAAGCAGAGGGAGCUGGUGAAAUGGGUUUUGACUAGGAGGAUUACGAAUAGUGAUCUUGAGGCUGCUGAUCUUGAUGAAGAUGGAGUUGUUGGAGCUGCGGAGUUUAUAGUGUAUAACUGAAAGAGAUGGGGAAGAUUGAUGAAACAGAUAUCUCUGGGAUCGUGGAAGAGUUUGAGAAGCUAGAUUACGAUGAGUCUAGAACUAUGACGACUUCUGACAUCGUUCUAGCUCAGAUGAAUCGGGAUCUUUGUUAUGUUAUAUAUGCACAUCACUUAACAACAACAAAAAGCAAAGGAAGUGAACAGUUUUUUUAGGAACUUUUGUAUGUUUCUGUUUGUGUUUUGUAAUGGCACAUUCUCGCUCUUUUACUGUUUUUUUUAUGCUUGAGUGUAUGAUCUACAAACGUAUAGAUAUUUCGAUUGAUACAAACACUUUGUGUAAUAAAACUGAAUUUCUUCCUAUUAACCUGUAAUGGAGCUCUGUUUUUUCCA